rnacentral:rRNA from 1 species
AGUGAACGCUGGCGGUAGGCCUAACACAUGCAAGUCGAACGGCAGCACAGUAAGAGCUUGCUCUUACGGGUGGCGAGUGGCGGACGGGUGAGGAAUACAUCGGAAUCUACUUUUUCGUGGGGGAUAACGUAGGGAAACUUACGCUAAUACCGCAUACGACCUACGGGUGAAAGCAGGGGAUCUUCGGACCUUGCGCGAUUGAAUGAGCCGAUGUCGGAUUAGCUAGUUGGCGGGGUAAAGGCCCACCAAGGCGACGAUCCGUAGCUGGUCUGAGAGGAUGAUCGGGCACACGGGAACUGAGACACGGUCCAGACUCCUACGGGAGGCAGCAGUAGGGAAUCUUAGGCAAUGGGCGAAAGCCUGACGGAGCAACGCCGCGUGAGUGAUGAAGGUCUUCGGAUCGUAAAACUCUGUUAUUAGGGAAGAACAAAUGUGUAAGUAACUAUGCACGUCUUGACGGUACCUAAUCAGAAAGCCACGGCUAACUACGUG